UACGAAGGUCCCAAGCGUUGUUCGGAAUCACUGGGCGUAAAGGGCGCGUAGGCGGCGUGGUAAGUCAGAUGUGAAAUCCCGGGGCUCAACCCCGGAACUGCAUCCGAUACUGCCAUGCUUGAGGGUUGGAGAGGUAGCUGGAAUUCUCGGUGUAGCAGUGAAAUGCGUGGAUAUCGAGAGGAACACUCGUGGCGAAGGCGAGCUACUGGACAACAUCUGACGCUGAGGCUCGAAGGCCAGGGGAGCAAAAGGG
rnacentral:rRNA from 1 species